UUGUCAAUCACUUAGCAAAAACAUAGGUUUAAAAUUACAAGGGAAUUUAAAAUUACAAAAUAGUCUUUCAAGAAAUUAAAUUACAACUAAACCAAAAUUAAGUUUAACAUGUUUCGGGUGGGUGUAUGGGUUUCGGGUGUGGGUUUGAGUGAUACCAAACCCACACCCAUAUUUUCGGGUGUCACCCAAACCCAGUCAAUUCGGGUUUCGCCCGUUGACUUGGGUUUGGGUUCGGGUGGGUCUCACGGGUUUGGGUUUUUCUGCCAUCCC
rnacentral:lncRNA from 1 species